AUGAACGCUGGCGGCGUGCUUAACACAUGCAAGUCGAACGGAAAGGCCCAAGCUUGCUUGGGUACUCGAGUGGCGAACGGGUGAGUAACACGUGGGUGAUCUGCCCUGCACUUCGGGAUAAGCCUGGGAAACUGGGUCUAAUACCGGAUAGGACGAUGGUUUGGAUGCCAUUGUGGAAAGUUUUUUCGGUGUGGGAUGAGCUCGCGGCCUAUCAGCUUGUUGGUGGGGUAAUGGCCUACCAAGGCGUCGACGGGUAGCCGGCCUGAGAGGGUGUACGGCCACAUUGGGACUGAGAUACGGCCCAGACUCCUACGGGAGGCAGCAGUGGGGAAUAUUGCACAAUGGGCGCAAGCCUGAUGCAGCGACGCCGCGUGGGGGAUGACGGCCUUCGGGUUGGAAACUCCUUUCGCUAGGGACGAAGCGUUUUGUGACGGUACCUGGAGAAGAAGCACCGGCUAACUACGUG
rnacentral:rRNA from 1 species